CUAAUACAUAAAACCUAGACACCCUUCUUAAAAAAAAUCGAGAGACCUAAACCAAGAAAACCCUAGAGAACACCCUAAUAGCACAGCCGCCAGUCCACCUCUCUCCACCGGCUGCUCACGCCGGACAGCCGCAUCACCCCCUCUUCACCACCGACCGUCAUCACCUCCAUCGCCUCUCUCAACUUGGGGUGCGAAAUCCGCCGCCGCUGCCAUCUCCGGCCAAUUAUCGCUGUCGUGGUAUUCCUUCCAUCAACUACAAAUAUUGUUCCUAGGAAAAUAUUCCAUUUAUAUGGAAGAUAAUAGUCUUUAAUCUGUUCAAAACGCCUUGGUGUCAUUUCCUCGACAGCUUUCAUCUCAGGCCAAAUACUAGCCAAAUAUAGCCCUUCCAGCACAUUUCUUCCUCUGUUUUCUAAUAACUAACUAUGAAUGAAUUCUUGAACCACGGGCUUUGCAUAAGAUAUUAAUAGGUUUGUCUGAGAUUGCAUUCUGAAGAAGCUUUUCAAGAUUGGAAAUGUUUCUUUAGUCAUCUCUGUGAUUGAUGAUCUAUUUGCAUGAACGAGUACACAACAUUCGUCGAGGUUAUUAGGUUCGUUUGGGGUUCCGUCGCCGAUUCGAGGUUUGGUCAAUAGAUCAUUUUUUUGGUUUGCUGCUUUGGAAAUUUUCAGUCAUUGUACAUGGCGAAAAAUACGUAGCGAUAAAGGUGUGGAUCCAUGUACCAGGACUCGAGCAUGAUAGAUACCCCAGGACCACUGCAUUCGGGAGCUACUUGAGGAGACUUUUCUAUAUUUUUGAGUUUGUUUUCAUGUUUUCUUUUACUUUGUAGUCAUGUCCAGUAGUACUGCAUCUUUUAGGUGAUGUCAGAGACUAUCAUAGUCUAGUUGAGUUUGUCGAGUCUUUCAUUAUAUCGUACUUCCUGUUUUGUAUUUGAAAAACUAAAAAAAUUAUAAAUGAAAAAUCCAAAAAGAUUUUUGUUUCUUA